rnacentral:rRNA from 1 species
GAUGAACGCUGGCGGCGUGCCUAAUACAUGCAAGUCGAGCGAACAGACGAGGAGCUUGCUCCUCUGACGUUAGCGGCGGACGGGUGAGUAACACGUGGAUAACCUACCUAUAAGACUGGGAUAACUUCGGGAAACCGGAGCUAAUACCGGAUAAUAUAUUGAACCGCAUGGUUCAAUAGUGAAAGACGGUUUUGCUGUCACUUAUAGAUGGACCCGCGCCGCAUUAGCUAGUUGGUAAGGUAACGGCUUACCAAGGCAACGAUGCGUAGCCGACCUGAGAGGGUGAUCGGCCACACUGGAACUGAGACACGGUCCAGACUCCUACGGGAGGCAGCAGUAGGGAAUCUUCCGCAAAGGGCGAAAGCCUGACGGAGCAACGCCGCGUGAGUGAUGAAGGUCUUCGGAUCGUAAAACUCUGUUAUUAGGGAAGAACAAAUGUGUAAGUAACUAUGCACGUCUUGACGGUACCUAAUCAGAAAGCCACGGCUAACUACGUG